CCUACGGGAGGCUGCAGUGAGGAAUAUUGGUCAAUGGGCGUAAGCCUGAACCCGCCAAGUCGCGUGAGGGAUGAAGGUUCUAUGGAUCGUAAACCUCUUUUAUAAGGGAAUAAAGUGUGGGACGUGUCCUAUUUUGUCUGUACCUUAUGAAUAAGGAUCGGCUAACUCCGUGCCAGCAGCCGCGGUAAUACGGAGGAUCCGAGCGUUAUCCGGAUUUAUUGGGUUUAAAGGGUGCGUAGGCGGCCUUUUAAGUCAGCGGUGAAAGUCUGUGGCUCAACCAUAGAAUUGCCGUUGAAACUGGGGGGCUUGAGUAUGUUUGAGGCAGGCGGAAGGCGUGGGGUAGCGGGGAAAGGCUUAGAGAUCACGCAGAACCCCGAUGGCGAAGGCAGCCUGCCAAGCCAUGACUGACGCUGAUGCACGAAAGCGUGGGGAUCAAACAGGAUUAGAUACCCUAGUAGUC
rnacentral:rRNA from 1 species